AUGAACUAGCUAACUGAAAUCAUAAACAAACAAAAAAAAAGGUUUGAUUUAUGAUAAAGUAAGGAAAAAUAAUGAUAUUACUUUACUAUUAGUGUUGUCCAAAGCUGGUGCCAGAAGACUCGGUAAGGCCAGAAACGCUAACGUUAAUCAUCUUUAACAGGCGUAAAGGGUGUGUAGGCGGCUUUAAAAUUAAAAAUAGAAUAAAAUAUUAAAUUUUAUUUAAAAUGUGAUUAUUUAAAGCUAGAAUCUAAUAGAGGUAAAUUAAAAUAAUACUUGGAGGAAUAGUAAUUUAUUAUUAUAUCAAGUAGAAUGCUAAAGGUGAAAACUUUUUUUCCAUUAAAGAUUGACGCUGAGAAACGAAGGUGAGGAUAGAAAAAAGGAUUAGAUACCCAAGUAUCCCUCACAGUCAACGAUGAAUGGUGGUUUCUAAUUAUAAUUGUAAUUAGUUUCUAUGUUAACACGAUAACCAUUCCGCCUUGCGAGUACGACUGCAAAGUUAAAACCAAAAAAAUUAGUCGGUCUCGGAGCAAACGAAAGU
rnacentral:rRNA from 1 species